rnacentral:lncRNA from 10 species
GGUAGGACUUGGUCUCUGAGGACCUCUCCCUCCUCUGCACUCAUGCCUGCCUGCUGCCUGUGAGGCUUCGUUGGAACAAAAUGCAUCGCCAGCUCCCACCUGGAGCACUGUGCUGCUAGGCUCACAUCCCAGGGGGCUUCUGAUAUGCUACAGACGGGGAUGCUUCAGCAUCCUUUAACCUGGGAUGCUGCCUGUUAGGAGAGGAGCAGCUUCAGCCCUUUCGAAAAGUCUUCCUUCUCCUCUUCUUCCUCCUCCACUUUUUCCUCUUCCUCCUCCUCCUCCUCUUCUUUUUCCUCUUCCUCCUCUGCCUCCUCUUCCUCUUUUUCCUUUCUCCUCCUCCUCUUCCUCCUUCACUUUUUCCUCUUUCUCCUCCUCCUCCUCCUUCUUCUCUACUUUUUCCUCUUCCUCCUCCCCCUCCUCUCCUCUUCCAUUUUUAAAAAUUUCAGUAAAUGUUUCAUUAGG